UACGUAGGGUGCAAGCGUUGUCCGGAAUUAUUGGGCGUAAAGAGCUCGUAGGCGGUUUGUCGCGUCUGCUGUGAAAACCCGAGGCUCAACCUCGGGCCUGCAGUGGGUACGGGCAGACUAGAGUGCGGUAGGGGAGAUUGGAAUUCCUGGUGAAGCGGUGGAAUGCGCAGAUAUCAGGAGGAACACCAAUGGCGAAGGCAGAUCUCUGGGCCGUAACUGACGCUGAGGAGCGAAAGCAUGGGGAGCGAACAGG
rnacentral:rRNA from 1 species